GAUGAAGACGUAGUGAAAUGCGAUAAGUAGUGUGAAUUGCAGAAUUCAGUGAAUCAUCGAAUCUUUGAACGCACAUUGCGCCUUCUAGUAUUCUGGGAGGCAUGCCUGUUUGAGCGUCAUUAAACCUCUCUCAAGUAUGAUUACUUGGAUGUGAAGGAAGAGUACCUUAAACUUAAGGAGUGUUCUCCUUUGAAAUUGAUUAGCAGAUGGUAAUGUUAUUAAAUCCCUGAUGUUGUAAGAAAUAACAGUGGUUUUGUAGACUAUUAUCUAGCUUUAAAUUAUAAUUUUUAUUAUGGUUGACCUCAAAUCAGGUAAGGAUACCCGCUGAACUUAAGCAUAUCAAUAAGCGGAGGA
rnacentral:misc_RNA from 1 species